rnacentral:ncRNA from 1 species
CCGCGAAGCAUCCAGUACGGUAACGCGACCGAUCCCGGCGAAGCUGGCGGGAGCCCCGGGGAGAGUACUCUAUUCUUUGUGAAGGGCAGGGCACCCUGGAAUGGGUUCGCCCUGAGAAAGGGGCCCAAGCCCUGGAAAGCAUUGCGGUGUCCGGUGAGCUCUCCCUGGUCCUUGAAAAUCCAGGGGAGAGGGUGUAAUUCUCGCG